rnacentral:lncRNA from 1 species
CCAACUUUUAGUGCUUGUGGAAUGAAAAUACUGAAUACGUUCUAGGGUUCAGUUGGUACCCAAAAAAAGGCUCGAUAUGACAGUGCGUCAGUCAAGUUUGGAGGAACCUGAAUUGAAAAUUGGACAGAAAGGAACUCUUUGUGGGUGUUGGUGGGGGAGAGGCUGUCGAACAGUUCGACAAAACGUGAAGAGGAUUCAAGCUGGAGGUGCGUCACGUUCUGCGCCCGAUGAUGCCACCCACUGAAAGAAUUGCUGUUGCAAACGUCGCGGUACUUCGUUUGACGUUCGCCGCGCCAGCUACCAGUGUGUUUUCUGUUAACUACAACGGUACUUUUUCUGUGUGUGACCCUUCAGUGGCGCGUAUCGCUCUGUGUUCCUAAACACAGACGGUACCCUCUUCCACUUACGCGCAUAUUUGCUACGUAUUGGCGCCUUGCAGUGUCACGGGAGAAAAGGACGGCUCGUUGCACGGACUCUUUCGAGCGCAACGCGGUAGUGUUUUGAAUUAGAAAACCACAGCACACUCAUCCCAGACAUUCCAUCUUGCGACUUUAAGCCGGCGACGCUUGUGGACACUCUGCUGAGGCGCGAGCCUCGAGGGAUAUUACGUCGGAUAGGAUCAGAAAACAAAAAGUCCCGGCCUCUGGGUUAUGUGAGUGGCUCUUGCACCACUAGCAGCGGGCUCUCGUGUUCGACCAGAACGCACUCGGGGCGUCGCCCUAGUUUCUUUCUGUGAAAGCAGUGAGCGGAAACAAAUGCGUUAGAUUGGAAAUCCCGGUUGAAAAUGCGGGAUUUGGGGUUGGUCGAUGGCUUGUCGCUAGUCUCCAUCAGUUCUAUUUGAGACGGGGGGACCUGAACGGUCAUGCCAGCCUCCACGCCACAGAGAAUCCUUUCACGAGAAACUUUCACGGUAUCCUUCAGCGAAGCGCUACGACUGCUCAAAACGCUAUUUUGAGGAUUAUGUCACGCUGGUGCAUACCGCAUCCUCACAACUGCUAAUUGGUGAACGGGUUCGGAGCGUAACACAUUCCGUCGCUGAUAUAGUGAAAAUUAGACUGGAUAAAUCCCUUCUGCACUCUUAGAGGAUUUGGAAACGAAGAGACCUCUGGACUGCUUGGUUACUGGUCUCUCCAUAUUCCUUCCCAUCCAAAAGAGUGCCUAGAGCAACACCCGGUGCAUUGAAUUCGGGCGGCUUCAGUACAGAAAUCGUCUUCCCUGAAGUAUACCAAUCAAGUCAAUGUCACCCGGUCUGGUCACCUCCGACUCGUCCCUCAUUUGCCUCCAGAGAAACAGGAACAGGGGCGACGAAAGCUGCGUCUUCCUAAUCUGAGCCAGGAGGAAGAAUGGACGUGCCUCCGGGGACAGGGCCGGCGCCUCCCAGGCCAAGAGUGGUGCCUGACGAGGAAAGACAGCAAAAGAAUGUAAAUCCGGAAGCUUGGAUAUUUGAGCAUGGAGAACAACGUAUUCCAGACUGGUUCUAGGAGAGGAAAGAGUAGAAAAUGAUCACAAAUGAGGAAGCAGGUGCGAUACGGUGUACAGACGCAUCAGUCUAGACGAACAAUGCAUAUUUUCCAGACAUACAUGUUUCUUUUCUCUGCCUUGUGUUUGCAUGACGAUGUCAGUGGAACCGAUACACCGUCUGGAUCUGCACGUGCUACCGUCGUGUAAAAAACUCUUUGAGUCCCGGAAAUGUGAGGCGUCCCUGUUUGGUGCAGGUGUGGUGACGGGAAAGAGGACUUACGUUGUUGUUGGACCCACGUGAAGGAAAGGAAAAUGAGGAAAAUCUGCAUACAAACGGCGUGGAAAAGAAAUGCCACAACUGAACGUGGUCGGAACGGCAGGACGCCGCGUACAAGCACAGGAAAGGGUCUACACCUCGCGCAAUGCAAAUGCUCAACCGUAGCUAGUCUCUCUUCCCCGCUCCUGUGCAAGUUCCUUCCGUGAGAGGAGUGAAAUUCCAACCGGAUGAACUGUAUGUACUCUCCUUCCAUCAGCUGCUUCGAAGGUCGUUCGGUUUCUCCGACAAAAAACGGCAAAGACUACCGCUGCUACAGGCACUCAUCAGAUCAGAGUCACCAUUUAACUACAGAGAGCAAAAAUACUCCUGUCACAACAGCGACGCUCAGCACCCUGAAGUCGAAUGGACCGGAAUGAGGCUGCUUCUGCCGUGACGGCAGAAACGAAACUCACCUUGACAAGAAGAUUGAAUGUGGAAAGACCCAGAGCCCAGUUGUGCAUGCCGUAUGUCCAGCGAACCCGAAGGUUUUCGCUUUCUGGGAAGCAGAGUUCCGCAUCGCCUUUUUCGCAGCUCCACGUUGAGUACGCAAUGAACAGCCACGUGAUCUCUACUAUGGAGGCGAUGCAGAGCAAGACAGCGUACUGUCGGGCGCCGCGAAGAAGCCUCUUAACGCCAGUAACGCUCUUCGUCUCGCCAUCGACGCACCACAGGUGGUAGCCCACUAAGUAGAGAACGAAGUUGAAGUCGGUCCUUCCGAGGCAGGCGAACAGGGACGAAACGAGAAGCACCAUGAUGCAGGUGACGAUGCCCCCGCGGAGUGUACGUACACCUGGUAAGUCUUCAGACGAGGCGUCAGCGAGGCGACUGCCGAGCCAGCCUGCGCGGAACGAAUGUGGGAGCGCAGGCAGCAGAGUCGGAGGCUGGGCUUGACGAACUGUCGAAAUCGGUGCCGAAGACAUAAAAAAGCUGCCUCCGGGCAUGGCACUCUGGGCCGGGUACGAGAAACUGCCGGUCGUCGAAGGCGCGAGACCAGUGGACGGCAAACCCUGAGCCAUGACGUACACCGUGCCCGGCGCAGCUGAGGCGGGACACGCGACAUAGCUCGAAGGCAUUGGGGCGCCGGCGGAAGGCAUCACCACAGACGGACCCGUUGGCGGACCGUUGCUAACAAGAACAGCUGGACGCGUAGGUUCGUUCGCCGCCGAAGAGACGGGAGCAUAAUGCGCCGCAUACGGAUCGGAGAGUUGCGUCGCCAUGGUCAACAGAGGGAGAGAGACGACCUUCGGGGAGUCGACGGCUGUGUCUAGAGGAAAGAAUAAGCCUAACGUGAACGCACUGUCGGCUCAAUCGGAAAACAUACUUUCGUGCUGCACCGGAAGCUAUGCGCCUGCGAAACGCGACCGCAAGAAAAAGGCUUAGCGGAGGCUUGGGAGCAAGACAGAUGACAGUGCCUUGAAGUACGAGGAAAGAGAAGUGACUGCUGUGCAGAGGAAGCAGCUUUCGAGAGAGGACUGAAUACAGAGUUACCGGGGACGAACGACACUCAGAGUAUUUUUGGGAGGGCGGCUGGGCCCCUACAGCCCUUCCAAGAGGUGCGGCUGAAAACCAUGUGCGGAGACAAAACCGCCCUGAAGAAGUUGCGAUUUUGCUGUAAGGCAGAAGGGAUGAGUCACGGUCGACCAACGGCCUGGAAAGGAACAGAAGAAAGUGGAAACGGCCGUCGGCGGAGAGUGGUUGUAAAAAGAGAGCGCGAAAAAGCAGGGGUAACGGAUCCAGUUUGCUUCAGUCACUGAGUCGAGUCUAACGAAGAAUCAGUGAGAAAAGCAGAGGUGGGAAAGGACGCAGUCAGUGUCUUCCGACCGCCACUCGCGCGCACGGCUUGAGGGGUUGAGUUUCCCGGAGAAAGCGCUUGGAACGGCUGAUCUACCUCGAGAUAUCGGUGGUUUUUUCCAAAUUCCGUCCAGGAGGCAGAAGCGGCAACCCAGUUGGGGAAAAUCUGUGCAAAUACAAGGGAGAAUUUCGGGCUUCGAACCGAGGAAGCACAUUGGGAUACGCGCCACCUCGCCAGAACAGCUACCGUAGCAGGUGGGAGGCAGAGCGGGUCGCCACCGAGCUGUGCAAGUCACUGCAAGACAAGCGUGAGAGCACCACAAAAAAUCAAGUCCUGUGCUUUCUGGUCACGCAUUCCCAGCAUUCUUCCGCAGCAGAAAUCUACAGCGGUGGGUGGAACCUCGUAUAAGUGUAAGUUGGCUGCAUAAUAACCAAGGGAGGAGAUGAGGUCGCAACACAUGUUGUUCCCGGUGCGGCAAGACAUGCCGUGGCGGACACAGCCUGGCGGCUCUGCUCUUUUCACCACUGGAGGAGCUGGAAACAGACGAUCCGGGCUCUGAGUUGCCUUUUUUUAUCGGUGGCCUCGACAAACUUUGCGAAGUCCGAGAACGCUGCCGAAGGGACCUUCUGUGCAGUUCCGCAUGGAAGCGACACCAUUUCGUGUCUUGCGGGAGUCUACCAAGCAGUUUACCCUUGCAACUGAACAGGUGGGGGUCACCAGCUGCAAUGGCGCGAAGGUCACCUUUCUCCCUGAGUGAAAGAGAGAGCUGGUUCUUCAGUGUUGAAUUUACAAAGCGGGGGACAGCUACACUGACUCAGGUGACGGCUCUGAGCGCCUUCAAGUUGGAGGUUUUUUGCUCCGACAUCUGCAGUUGUUGGUGCCUCCGCUUCCGAUGAAACCACCUCGUGUCGCUGCAACCCUUCUCCGCUAUGUGUUACUAAAUGCUGAGCAUCAUAGCAGAAAACCAUUGCUGCUUAGCUCAGUGAACCUCAUGUCAAGAGCGAUAGCCUGACGCUGACGUCCUUCGGCAAGAAGUCCGGCGGUGAUCUGUAGAGACUCUUCCAGGUGCUUACCUUACGGUUUAUUGCCUGGCACCGCGCCGGUAGUAGUCUGUGGACUUCUGCGUACCCUGCCGUGGUACACGAAUAGUCAGUCUUUUUCUCAAACCUUUGAUACCCCUUAUGGGGUGUUCAGCGCCAAUCAAGAACAGUGCAUUAGUAUCAUCCACCCUGGGGGUGUCCCCGACUCAAGGCCCUUACGGUCUGUUGUGAAGGACCUCGGGUUCGUGCCGUUGUUAGCAGGGUUGCUGGAACCAUUUAAAUGUAAGCAGAAAAUAUGUGGGACUAUGGCGGUUGAAUUCGGACAGCCCAAAGGAAGUUAACUAUCAAAUGUAUUCAGUGUAUCCUUGAAACCUGAUGCAGCUUAGUCUUCUAUGUUGCUAUCUUAGUCAACUAAGCUUCAAGGGGAAAGAACUUGUCGAGAGCAGUCGUCGUGGUAAAAGCUGGUCCGACUUUUUGCAUGGUACUUGCCUGGCGCAUUUUUUACGUACUUUGCCAGAAGAAAAGGCUUAUGUGGUAGAAUCAUUGUGAUGGCACCUGCUGUGUGCAUCUGACCCCUCAGCUUUUACCAGAAGACACGAACGGGGAACGGGGUCCCUGAGUUCGUUAUCCUGGGUGUAUGUGUGAGACUCCGGGUUGCCUCGAUCUCUUCGACUAGAGUCCCGUCGGCUGAGUUUGGUCAGGUGCAGCAUCGGGGGCUACGCGAACGGCACCUAGACACGAUGGAGGAGGUAACUGUUCCUCGUUUCGGCCCUUACAAUUUCAUCGGUAUAGAAGAGAAGUUCCUUUUCACGCUCUCUGGCAUUUGCCCUUCCGGGUGACACGUCGACAAUUUGUGGGUCGUCGAUUUCUCUCAUCCGUAGGGAAUGUCUUUCAUUUUUUGAGGACAUGUUACCGAGGGGCUAAAUGUUCCGAGAGAUAGUCUGUCCUGUUUAUCCAAACACAAAGUUUGCCAAUUGCAGCACCACUGGAGGCGGUCACCGCCUUUCCCGAGGGAAAUCGUGAGAUAUGUAUACUUUCUUAACGCGUGCGACUGAUUGUACACGGGUUUGCUUCUUGCCUCCAAAUAGCACUAAAGAAGCAGUCUCUGUGGCGAAACCCUGUCCAGGCAUCUUGUUAAAACAGAUGGCAGGGACAGGGCCCCCUCCAGAGAUGGCUAGUCUCGAUCGAGCACAUACUUUCGUGCUCGUCGGAGACUAUAUAACGGAGACCGAUCACAGAAGCAAAACGGCGUGUGUUUUGUUCAUUUCCAGCUAGGUACCGCUGAAACGCCCCGUGUUUUUACCGUAACAGGACUUGCCGACCCCAAUACAGCUAAUAUCAACAGUCGUAAUUAGUCGGGCCUGCGAAAAUUAUGGUCCCAGCACCGACUGGCAAAAUGCGCACAAUGUGCAUGCAGCAAGAGGCAAAGCUAGGUUCUCGCGUCGAGAAGUUAGUAUUCUCUCGAUGCCCAGCGUCCACACUUUGUUACGCACAUUUCACUGGAA